CUGGCGGUAUGCUUAACACAUGCAAGUCGGACGGCAGCGGGCCCUUCGGGGCGCCGGCGAGUGGCGGACGGGUGAGUAACGCGUAGGAAUCUGCCUGUUAGUGGGGGACAACUUAGGGAAACUUAAGCUAAUACCGCAUACGCCCUACGGGGGAAAGCGGGGGACUUUCGGGCCUCGCGCUAACAGAUGAGCCUGCGUUGGAUUAGCUAGUUGGCGGGGUAAGGGCCCACCAAGGCGACGAUCCAUAGCUGGUCUGAGAGGACGAUCAGCCACACUGGGACUGAGACACGGCCCAGACUCCUACGGGAGGCAGCAGUGGGGAAUAUUGGACAAUGGGCGCAAGCCUGAUCCAGCAAUACCGCGUGUGUGAAGAAGGCCCGAGGGUUGUAAAGCACUUUCAAUUGGGAGGAAAAAGGCAGGCUUAAUACGCCUGCCCUUGACAUUACCUUUAGAAGAAGCACCGGCUAACUCCGUGCCAGCAGCCGCGGUAAUACGGAGGGUGCGAGCGUUAAUCGGAAUUACUGGGCGUAAAGCGUGCGUAGGCGGCCUGUUAAGUCAGAUGUGAAAGCCCUGGGCUCAACCUGGGAACGGCAUUUGAAACUGGCGGGCUAGAGUUAGGUAGAGGGGAGUGGAAUUCCGGGUGUAGCGGUGAAAUGCGUAGAUAUCCGGAGGAACACCAGUGGCGAAGGCGGCUCCCUGGACCCAAACUGACGCUGAGGCACGAAAGCGUGGGUAGCAAACAGGAUUAGAUACCCUGGUAGUCC
rnacentral:rRNA from 1 species